UACAGAGGGUGCAAGCGUUAUUCGGAUUUACUGGGCGUAAAGGGCGCGUAGGUGGUUUGGUAAGUCUGGUGUGAAAUCCCUCGACUCAAUCGAGGAAGUGCACCGGAUACUGCUAGACUAGAGUAUGGGAGAGGAGAGUGGAAUUCCGGAAGUAGAGGUGAAAUUCGUAGAUAUCCGGAGGAACAACAGAGGCGAAGGCGGCUCUCUGGACCAUUACUGACACUGAGGCGCGAAAGCGUGGGGAGCAAACAGG
rnacentral:rRNA from 1 species